rnacentral:rRNA from 1 species
UCCUACGGGAGGCAGCAGUGGGGAAUAUUGGACAAUGGGCGAAAGCCUGAUCCAGCCAUGCCGCGUGUGUGAAGAAGGUCUUCGGAUUGUAAAGCACUUUAAGUUGGGAGGAAGGGCAUUAACCUAAUACGUUAGUGCUUUGACGUUACCGACAGAAUAAGCACCGGCUAACUCUGUGCCAGCAGCCGCGGUAAU